CCCGUGGUAGCUCAGCCUGGUAGAAGUUCUAUACUGCCACCGGAGCGUCGCAGGUUCAAUUCCUGCCCACGGGA
rnacentral:tRNA from 1 species